GUGAGAUCACAGCUUGUGACACAAUGCAGUACAGCUGAAAAGCAGAACUGGAGAGCAGAAGAAAAUGGAGCACUGUGACCAGAAUACAUCAGAUCCGCACAACAGCAUUGUUCAGAGAUGGAAUGAGCACUAUCUACUGAAGAAUAACAAGCCUACAGCUCCAUCUGGAGGAAGAUAUAUUUGACACGUUUGCUUUUCAAUUCAGAGAGCAUGUAGUGUUCUUAUACACUGUGCUUUUCAUCUUCAAAGCCUUUUAUGAGAUUAAUUAAUUCUCACAACACCAAGAGAGGUAAGCCGGGCAUACUCAUCUUGCAGGAGAAAAACAUGUCCAGUACUAACACAGGCUCAACAUCCAAAAAUGGAAUUAUAAUACAACACAUUGCAGCUGCUAGCCCUGCAUUCAGACACUAUUAAUCCUGAGUUUGAAGUAACUUCAUGAAAUGUUUGCUCUUCAGCAGUGACAGAUAUUUCAGCAGCUAUUACAGCAUUCACUCAUGAAGUAUUUUCUGACAGUAUGUUGUCAACAUUGUAAUCUCAGCUGCAGGACCAAAGGAUGAAGAAAACACUCAGAAAAUGUUAUUUUUGCUUUGAAUCUUAAUUUUUAGUUACAAACUUCUUUCCUGUGCUUAUGCAAUGGCUGAGAAAGAUUUAGUUCAGUAUGAGUGGAAGGUGAAUUUAGUUUUACAUAUACCAUAAUUUUAUCUAUCUGGACUUUAUUCUUUGUUCCUUGCUAUAAAAUGCCAAUAGCUUCUCACCUCCACUCAACUCCCCUCUCCAACUUCACUAACUCUUAAGUACAAAAACCCCAAGCUAUUGCUUUUUCUUUCUUUGUGCUGGAUUUGACAGGUAGAUGUCUUUGUUCUAUGAUAGAUGAAUAUUUUCCAGAGACCCCAUCCCUUCUCCAGAGUGCUAGCCACACAAAAAGUAUCCCACUGCUAUUCAGGAUAAACAUUAAUGUAAAUCUAAAUCACACUAUUUUAGCUAUAAUCAAGAGGUUUCAACUCCAAAAAUGUAAUGUUGCGAUUUGCAACAAAUACUUGUUUUAAAAAAAAUCUUCCCCAAUUAGCAUGCUUGUAAGGAACACAUCACAGCAAAGGGCAGGCGUGCAGUAAUUUCAGAAGAAUAAAAAAGUGCAUUUCUUCUAAUACUUUCUCAAUUUCAUAUUACAUGGAAAGAAAGCUCUCAUUCCCUUUUUAUACAAUCUUUCCUUCUACAAUCAGAAUGAGAAAUGUAGAAGUAUACAGCAUAUCAUUAUGUAUUAGAAGCAUACAAGCUCUAUUUGGCCAGCUAAAAUAGGCAGAGAAAUUUGCAACAUUACUGUACUUAAACAGCAUGAUAAGACUAAAAGAGGAAGGGUAUGAUCCAUUAAUGGAGCAGUAGCCUGACAUUCUAACUAUUUUUAGCUGUUCCAAAAGCAGAGCUAGAAAUGGUUUCCUUACUGAGUCACUCAAAAUAGGAUAUACCAUCUUAGAACUCAAUUUUAAAAAUCAGCUUAUAGCAUUGUCUUAUUUCUUCCUCUCCACCCACAUAUUACAAAUGUUUGUUAAAUCAGUUUUGUUAUACUGAGAUAAAUGGGCCAGAGUACCACUGGAGUUACCACUAGAAGUGAGCAGUGUCCUAUGAAUUAAAAGAACAUCCUGAAUAUCAGAACAAAUUCCUGUAUGUCUUGAUUUGUCAGUAUCUCUUGAUGCUGACAAAUACAAAACAUCACCAUAAGGUAAACAGAUUCGAUUUUAAUAAAGCAUUCCAGUUUUAAUCUGACAGCUAUUAGCCUUCUUACCAUCUAUGAAAGAGUAACAAAAAUCCAGUGCCUAAUGGUUUCUUAGCUCUUUAAUGGGCUGGAAUUUUCAAGGUCUAUGUAACAGGUCAAAAAAAGUGCAUGCACAAGAAACUUUUUUUUUCUUGUAGUGCAGAUAAGUACUAUCAAUACAUGGUGUGAGAGGAGACAGAAAAAAAAAAUCUGUGUCCACAGUAAAAGUUUUAAAACUAUGUUUUAUAAAUAAGACCGCAGUACAAAAAAGUCAGUAUAGUAGAAAAGAUAAGGCCAGUAUUGCUACUCCCCAAGCUACACAGCAUGAAAUUAGUAACUAGGAAUUUUGAAGAAGCAAUUCAUUUAAUACCGAUAUAAUGGGAGAAAGGAAACAGGUAUGUAAUGAGCCAAUGAAAGUGACUACUGCUUGCUAUGACCGAACCAUCCUGAUUCAAAGCUAGCACUAAAUACUGACUGACUGUAGGGAGGUGAAGGGAGAUGUUAUGUAGUGUUCCCCAGGUAUCCCUUUAAAGGACACAAAAGAGGAAAGGCUACUUGACUCGGCAGUUCCCAACCUGUGCAAGGAAACAGAAAUAAGCCUGGUCUUCAAACAGAAUAAUCACCUCUGGAUUUUAAUUUCAAGAAAAUUAUCUAGCUGUACAGACCCCCCACCCCACCCCCCACCCCACGCAAACCACACGACCCCAACAACCAGAAGUAAAACAAUGUACAUCCUGUGUGACUUUUGAUUAGUGAACCAAAUAUACAAAACUAGAUCUGGGCUUACGUGUGUUACUAACGCAACAGUGUUUCUGGUUAAAAUAGUGUUAAGCUUUUCAAUCUAGAACUACAUGAAAGCAUAAAGAGGGAGUACAUACAUCUCUGGUUCUGUUAGUUUAACCAACAACUCCAAGUUUGCAGUGGGAGAUCCUUUUGUGUUAAUACAGUGCUAUAAUUCACAGGUACACAUUUGCACAUUAAGUCAGGCAUGCUGUAAACAAAGCUCCCUCUCCCAACACUGCAAUGACUCACUUCAUCUGUAUGUUAAAGAGAAUUAAGACAUAAUUUAUUUUAAUAGAAAGGAAAUGCUUCCUAUUCCAUGUGGUAUGUAACAAUGCUCAUUUCUACUUAAUGAUACCAUGCAAGCAAUCCAAGAAGA